CGAUACAUAGGGGGACUGAGAGGUUAACCCCCCACACUGGUACUGAGACACGGACCAGACUCCUACGGGAGGCAGCAGUGAGGAAUAUUGGUCAAUGGACGCAAGUCUGAACCAGCCAUGCCGCGUGCAGGAUGACGGCUCUAUGAGUUGUAAACUGCUUUUGUACGAGGGUAAACGCAGAUACGUGUAUCUGUCUGAAAGUAUCGUACGAAUAAGGAUCGGCUAACUCCGUGCCAGCAGCCGCGGUAAUACGGAGGAUUCAAGCGUUAUCCGGAUUUAUUGGGUUUAAAGGGUGCGUAGGCGGUUUGAUAAGUUAGAGGUGAAAUUUCGGGGCUCAACCCUGAACGUGCCUCUAAUACUGUUGAGCUAGAGAGUAGUUGCGGUAGGCGGAAUGUAUGGUGUAGCGGUGAAAUGCUUAGAGAUCAUACAGAACACCGAUUGCGAAGGCAGCUUACCAAACUAUAUCUGACGUUGAGGCACGAAAGCGUGGGGAGCAAACAGGAUUAGAUACCCUGGUAGUCCACGCAGUAAACGAUGAUAACUCGUUGUCGGCGAUACACAGUCGGUGACUAAGCGAAAGCGAUAAGUUAUCCACCUGGGGAGUACGUUCGCAAGAAUGAAACUCAAAGGAAUUGACGGGGGCCCGCACAAGCGGAGGAACAUGUGGUUUAAUUCGAUGAUACGCGAGGAACCUUACCCGGGCUUGAAAGUUAGCGACGAUUCUUGAAAGAGGAUUUCCCUUCGGGGCGCGAAACUAGGUGCUGCAUGGUUGUCGUCAGCUCGUGCCGUGAGGUGUCGGGUUAAGUCCCAUAACGAGCGCAACCCCUACCGUUAGUUGCCAUCAGGUGAAGCUGGGCACUCUGGCGGGACUGCCGGUGUAAGCCGAGAGGAAGGUGGGGAUGACGUCAAAUCAGCACGGCCCUUACGUCCGGGGCUACACACGUGUUACAAUGGUAGGUACAGAGGGCAGCUACCCAGCGAUGGGAUGCGAAUCUCGAAAGCCUAUCUCAGUUCGGAUUGGAGGCUGAAACCCGCCUCCAUGAAGUUGGAUUCGCUAGUAAUCGCGCAUCAGCCAUGGCGCGGUGAAUACGUUCCCGGGCCUUGUACACACCGCCCGUCAAGCCAUGG
rnacentral:rRNA from 1 species